CGGAGGCUACCGCUAUUGGAGUCGAUUAAGCCAUGCGAGUCGAGAGUCUUAGGGACUCGGCGUACCGCUCAGUAACACGUGGGUAACCUGCCCUAUGCUGGGGAAUAACCUCGGGAAACUGAGAAUAAUGCCCCAUAGUUCACUACGCCUGGAACGGUGAGUGGAUGAAAGCUCCGGCGGCAUAGGAUGGGCCUGCGGCGUAUCAGGUCGUAGGGGGUGUAACGUACCCUCUAGCCUUCAACGCGUACGGGUUGUGGGAGCAAUCGCCCGGAGAUGGAUUCUGAGACACGAAUCCAGACCCUACGGGGUGCAGCAGGCGCGAAAACUUCACACUGCAGGAAACUGUGAUGAGGGAAUUCCAAGUGGUAUGACAAAGUCAUAUCUUUUACCAACUUUUAAUCGGUUGGUGAAUAAGGGGUGGGAAAGACCGGUGCCAGCCGCCGCGGUAAUACCGGCACCCCAAGUGGUCGUCGCUUUUAUUGGGCCUAAAACGUCCGUCGCCUGUUUGGUACAUUCGUGGGUAAAUCAACCAGCUUAACUGGUUGAAUUCUGCGAGGACGGCCAGACUAGGGACCGGGAGAGGUAGACGGUACUCAGUAGGAAGGGGUAAAAUCCUUUGAUCUAUUGAUGACCACCUGUGGCGAAGGCGGUCUACCAGAACACGUUCGACGGUGAGGGAUGAAAGCUGGGGGAGCAAACCGGAUUAGAUACCCGGGUAGUCCCAGCUGUAAACGAUGCAGACUCGAUGAUGCAUUGGCAUAAUAGCCAGUGCAGUGUCGCAGGGAAGCCGUUAAGUCUGCCGCCUGGGAAGUACGUACGCAAGUAUGAAACUUAAAGGAAUUGGCGGGGGAGCACCACAAGGGGUGAAGCCUGCGGUUCAUUGGAGUCACCGC
rnacentral:rRNA from 1 species